UACGUAGGCAGCGAGCGUUGUUCGGAGUUACUGGGCGUAAAGAGUGCGUAGGCGGUUUUCUAAGUUUGGUGUGAAAUCUCCCGGCUUAACUGGGAGGGUGCGCCGAAAACUGGAAGGCUUGAGUAUGGGAGAGGUAAGCGGAAUUCCUGGUGUAGCGGUGAAAUGCGCAGAUAUCAGGAGGAACACCGGUGGCGAAGGCGGGUCUCUGGGCCAUAACUGACGCUGAGGAGCGAAAGCGUGGGGAGCGAACAGG
rnacentral:rRNA from 1 species